rnacentral:rRNA from 1 species
CCUACGGGUGGCAGCAGUGGGGAAUAUUGGACAAUGGGCGAAAGCCUGAUCCAGCCAUGCCGCGUGUGUGAAGAAGGCCUUCGGGUUGUAAAGCACUUUCAGUGGGGAAGAAAGCCUUGGGGCUAAUACCCUCGAGGAAGGACAUCACCCACAGAAGAAGCACCGGCUAACUCCGUGCCAGCAGCCGCGGUGAAUACGGAGGGUGCGAGCGUUAAUCGGAAUUACUGGGCGUAAAGCGCGCGUAGGCGGUCUGAUAAGCCGGUUGUGAAAGCCCCGGGCUCAACCUGGGAACGGCAUCCGGAACUGUCAGGCUAGAGUGCAGGAGAGGAAGGUAGAAUUCCCGGUGUAGCGGUGAAAUGCGUAGAGAUCGGGAGGAAUACCAGUGGCGAAGGCGGCCUUCUGGACUGACACUGACGCUGAGGUGCGAAAGCGUGGGUAGCAAACAGGAUUAGAUACCCUUGUAGUC